rnacentral:rRNA from 1 species
UACGGAGGGUGCAAGCGUUAAUCGGAAUUACUGGGCGUAAAGCGUGCGUAGGCGGUUCGUUAAGUCUGUUGUGAAAGCCCCGGGCUCAACCUGGGAAUGGCAAUGGAUACUGGCGAGCUAGAGUGUGUCAGAGGAUGGUGGAAUUCCCGGUGUAGCGGUGAAAUGCGUAGAUAUCUGGAGGAAUACCGGUGGCGAAGGCGGCAUCCUGGACCGAAACUGACGCUGAGGCGCGAAAGCUAGGGGAGCAAACGGG